AUAAGUCGUUAUAGCAAAGGGGAUCACCUGAUACCAUUCCGAACUCAGUAGUUAAGCCCUUUAGUGCCGAAAAUAGCAGAAAUGCAAAAAUAGGGAGCGGCUUUUU
rnacentral:rRNA from 1 species